AUUCCAGCUCCAAGAGCGUAUAUUAAAGUUGUUGCAGUUAAAAAGCUCGUAGUUGGAUUUCUGGUAUAAUGCGCCUGGCCCGCGACCGCUAGGUCUGUGAGUGCCGGUGCGCGUUUGCCAUCCUUCUAGAAAACGUUUCUACCCUUCGCUGGGCCGGAUUCGCGAUCUAGAUCUUUUACUUUGAAAAAAUUAGAGUGUUUAAAGCAGGCUUUUGCUAUGAAUACAUUAGCAUGGAAUAAUAAUCUAGGACUUCGGUUCUAUUUUGUUGGUUUCUAGUACUGAAGUAAUGAUUGAUAGGGAUAGUUGGGGGUGCUAGUAUUGGGCGGCCAGAGGUGAAAUUCUUGGAUUCGCUCAAGACUAACUUAUGCGAAAGCAUUCACCAAGGAUGUCUUCAUUA
rnacentral:rRNA from 1 species